rnacentral:rRNA from 1 species
GAUGAACGCUGGCUGUGUGCCUAAUACAUGCAUGUCGAGCGAAGCACUUUUGUGCUUAGCGGCGAAUGGGUGAGUAACACGUACUUAACCUACCUCAUAGUUUGGGACAACAUUUGGAAACGAAUGCUAAUACCGAAUACGCUACUUGGUGGCAUCACCUUGUAAUGAAAGAUCCGUUUGGAUCGCUAAGAGAUGGGAGUGCGUUACAUUAGUUAGUUGGUAGGGUAAAGGCCUACCAAGACGAUGAUGUAUAGCGGGGUUGAGAAGCUGAUCCGCCACACUGGGACUGAGAUACGGCCCAGACUCUUACGGGAGGCAGCAGUAGGGAAUUUUCCACAAUGAGCGAAAGCUUGAUGGAGCGACACAGCGUGCAGGAAGACGCCUUUCGGGGUGUAAACUGCUGUUAUAAGGGAAGAAAAAACUAGACCAGGAAAUGGGUUUAGCUUGACGGUACCUUAUCAGAAAGCACCGGCAAACUAUGUGCCAGCCGCCGCCGUAAAAACCC